GGCCCGGUCUAAGUUCCUUGGAACAGGACGUCAUAGAGGGUGAGAAUCCCGUAUGCGACCGGUUGGCACCCGUCACGUAGCUCUUUCGACGAGUCGAGUUGUUUGGGAAUGCAGCUCUAAAUGGGAGGUAAAUUUCUUCUAAAGCUAAAUACCGGCCAGAGACCGAUAGCGCACAAGUAGAGUGAUCGAAAGAUGAAAAGCACUUUGGAAAGAGAGUUAAAAAGCACGUGAAAUUGUUGAAAGGGAAGGGCAUGCAACCAGACUUGUCGGCGGUGUUCCGCCGGUCUUCUGACCGGUCUACUCGCCGCCGGCAGGCCAGCAUCACUUGGGCGCGCCGGAUAAAGGCGCGAGGAAUGUAGCCCCUCGGGGUGUUAUAGCCUCGCGUACAAUACGGCGCCGCCCGAGUGAGGUCCGCGCUUCGGCUAGGAUGCUGGCGUAAUGGUUGUUUGCCGCCCGUCUUGAAACACGGACCAAGGAGUCUAACAUCUAUGCGAGUGUUCGGGUGUCAAACCCCUACGCGGAAUGAAAGUGAACGGAGGUGGGAAGCGCAAGCUGCACCAUCGACCGAUCCUGAUGUCUUCGGAUGGAUUUGAGUAAGAGCAUAGCUGUUGGGACCCGAAAGAUGGUGAACUAUGCCUGAAUAGGGUGAAGCCAGAGGAAACUCUGGUGGAGGCUCGCAGCGGUUCUGACGUGCAAAUCGAUCGUCAAAUUUGGG
rnacentral:rRNA from 1 species